rnacentral:rRNA from 1 species
AUUGAACGCUGGCGGCAGGCCUAACACAUGCAAGUCGAACGAGUGGCGGACGUGUGAGUAAUGUCUGGGAAACUGCCCGAUGGAGGGGGAUAACUACUGGAAACGGUAGCUAAUACCGCAUACCAUCGGAUGUGCCCAGAUGGGAUGAGCUAGUAGGUGGGGUAACGGCUCACCUAGGCGACGAUCCCGAGCUGGGCUGAUCGGAUGGCCAGCCACCCUGGAACUGAGACACGGUCCAGACGCCUACGUGGGGCAGCAGUGGGGACUAUUGCACAAUGGGCGCAAGCCUGAUGCAGCCAUUCCGCGUGUAUGAAGAAGGCCUUCGGGUUGUACAGUACUUUCAGCGAGGAGGCGUUACUCGCAGAAGAAGCACCGGCCAACUCCGUGCCAGCAGCCGCGGUAAUAC